GGUUCCAUAGUGUGGUGGCUAGCACAUAUGCUUUACACACAGAAAGUCCUGGGUUUACGCCCUAGUGGAGCCA
rnacentral:tRNA from 1 species